rnacentral:rRNA from 1 species
GAUGAACGCUGGCGGCGUGCCUAAUACAUGCAAGUCGAGCGAACAGACGAGGAGCUUGCUCCUCUGACGUUAGCGGCGGACGGGUGAGUAACACGUGGAUAACCUACCUAUAAGACUGGGAUAACUUCGGGAAACCGGAGCUAAUACCGGAUAAUAUAUUGAACCGCAUGGUUUUAUAGUGAAAGACGGAUUUGCUGCCACUCAUAGAUGGAUUCGCGCCGCAUUAUUUAGUUGGUAAGGUAACGGCUACCCAAGGCAACGAUGCGUAGCCGACGGGGGGGGGUGAUCGGCCACACUGGAACGGAGACACGGUCCAAACUCCUACGGGGGGCAGCAGUGGGGAAUCUUCCGCAAUGGGCGAAAGCCGGACGGAGCAACGCCGGGUGGGUGAUGAAGGUCUUGGGAUCGAAAAACUCUGUGAUUAGGGAAGAACAAAUGUGUAAGUAACUAUGCACGUCUUGACGGUACCUAAUCAGAAAGCCACGGCUAACUACGUG